GAUGAACGCUGGCGGCGUGCCUAAUACAUGCAAGUCGAGCGAACAGAUGAGGAGCUUGCUCCUCUGACGUUAGCGGCGGACGGGUGAGUAACACGUGGAUAACCUACCUAUAGGACUGGGAUAACUUCGGGAAACCGGAGCUAAUACCGGAUAAUAUAUUGAACCGCAUGGUUCAAUAGUGAAAGACGGUUUUGCUGUCACUUAUAGAUGGAUCCGCGCCGCAUUAGCUAGUUGGUAAGGUAACGGCUUACCAAGGCAACGAUGCGUAGCCGACCUGAGAGGGUGAUCGGCCACACUGGAACUGAGACACGGUCCAGACUCCUACGGGAGGCAGCAGUAGGGAAUCUUCCGCAAUGGGCGAAAGCUUGACGGAGCAACGCCGCGUGAGUGAUGAAGGUCUUCGGAUCGUAAAACUCUGUUAUUAGGGAAGAACAAAUGUGUAAGUAACUAUGCACGUCUUGACGGUACCUAAUCAGAAAGCCACGGCUAACUACGUG
rnacentral:rRNA from 1 species